rnacentral:rRNA from 1 species
CGCGGCCUAUCAGCUUGUUGGUGGGGUAAUGGCCUACCAAGGCGACGACGGGUAGCUGGUCUGAGAGGAUGAUCAGCCACAUUGGGACUGAGAUACGGCCCAGACUCCUACGGGAGGCAGCAGUGGGGAAUAUUGCGCAAUGGCCGCAAGGCUGACGCAGCGACGCCGCGUGUGGGAUGAAGGCUCUCGGGUUGUAAACCACUGUCAGGAGGGACGAAUACUCGGCUUCAAAUAGGAGACCGAGGGUGACGGUACCUCCAGAGGAAGCGCCGGCUAACUCCGUGCCAGCAGCCGCGGUAAUACGGGGGGCGCAAGCGUUGUCCGGAAUCACUGGGCGUAAAGCGCGCGUAGGCGGCCAGGUCAGUCACUUGUGAAAUCCCGGAGCCCAACUCCGGGCCUGCAGGUGAUACUGCUUGGCUAGAGCAUGGUAGAGGCAAGUGGAAUUCCCGGUGUAGCGGUGGAAUGCGUAGAUAUCGGGAAGAACACCAGUGGCGAAGGCGGCUUGCUGGGCCAUUGCUGACGCUGAGGCGCGAAAGCGUGGGGAGCAAACAGGAUUAGAUACCCUGGUAGUCCACGCCGUAAACGAUGGGUACUAGGCGUCGGGGGGAGCGACCCCUUCGGUGCCGUCGCUAACGCAGUAAGUACCCCGCCUGGGGAGUACGG